CAGCGCCGCGGGAAUACGAAGGGUGCAAGCGUUAAUCGGAAUUACUGGGCGUAAAGCGUGCGUAGGCGGUGAGUUAAGUCUGCUGUGAAAUCCCCGGGCUCAACCUGGGAAUGGCAGUGGAUACUGGCUCGCUAGAGUGUGUCAGAGGAUGGUGGAAUUCCCGGUGUAGCGGUGAAAUGCGUAGAGAUCGGGAGGAACAUCAGUGGCGAAGGCGGCCAUCUGGGACAACACUGACGCUGAGGCACGAAAGCGUGGGGAGCAAACAGGAUUAGAUACCCGCGUAGUCACUGUCUCUUAUACC
rnacentral:rRNA from 1 species